GCUGCCCUCAAGCACGGCUUGUGUGUUGGGCUUCCGUCCCUGGUAACGGGGACGGGCCCAAAAGGCAGUGGCGGCACCAUGUCUGGUCCUCGAGCGUAUGGGGCUUUGUCACCCGCUCCCGUAGG
rnacentral:misc_RNA from 1 species